CCUACGGGAGGCAGCAGUAGGGAAUCUUUCACAAUGGGCGAAAGCCUGAUGGAGCAACGCCGCGUGCAGGAUGAAGGCCUUCGGGUUGUAAACUGCUUUUAUAAGCGAGAAAUAUGAUGGUAAUUUAUGAAUAAGGAUCGGCUACAUACGUGCCAGCAGCCGCGGGCAUACGUAGGAUCCGAGCAUUAUCCGGGGUGACUGGGUGUAAAGAGUUGCGUAGGUGGCAUAAUAAGUAGCUAGUGAAAUCUGGUGGCUCAACCAUUCAGACUAUUAGCGAAACUGUUAAGCUUGAGACCGUUAGGGGUAACUGGAAUUUCGAGUGUAGGAGUGAAAUCCGUAGAGAUAAGGAGGAACACCAAUAGCGUAGGCAGGUUACUGGGACGGUUCUGACACUAAGGCACGAAAGCGUAGGGAGCAAACGGGAUUAGAUACCCUAGUAGUC
rnacentral:rRNA from 1 species